UUUUACAUUAAAAUCUGAUAAAACUUCUCUAGUUUUAAUUGUUUUGUAAGAAAUGUUACUUUAUCUAUUCCCAAGUGAUUUAUUCAAAGAUUCAUGUCCAGGAGUAAGCGUCAGCGCAUCACCGCUCAGUUGGCACAAGGGCAAGUCUACAGUGAGUGGGUGAGAGCGCUCUUGAGUGGGCGAGCAAGAAAGAGUAGAAGAGGGGAGGCAGAGAGGUACCGAAGAUUCUGACGUUCUCUGUUGCACAAAACCGCACUGCUUGCUCUGACUGCACUGUCCAUGCUGCUGUAUCCUAGACUGUCUGCUUGAGACGGAGUCCGUUUACUCCACUCUACACCCGACUCUUCUGUCUUUGGCGCAUCCUUUUAGUUUCUCUUUAAAACCUUUGAUCGAAUGAAGUGUUUUUCCAAGGAAAGAGACCGUUGAAACUGCCAGUAUAACCGGUUAUAAAAACGUGAAGAAGUCACUUGUUUGAAUAACUCUCUCCCCACUGCACGUACUCAACAUGAGCGAGCUCAGAUCCACUGGGAACCCCAACAGCAGCCAGGCGCCUGCUUCAGACAACAAAGAGAAGGCGGUUGACUCCAAGGCCCCAGCGACUGGGGAGGAGGAAGAGGAAGUGGACAUCGACUUGGAAGCGCCAGAGACGGAGAAAGCAGCGCUCGCCAUCCAGAACCAGUUCAGACGCUUCAAGAAGAACAAGAAGUAGUGACAGAAGGAGAAGAAAGAAAGACAAAAAAGAAGAAAAAAAAGAGAAAAAACUUUCUGCAGAACAGAUAAAUAGUGAUGGAGGAGGACGGGUGGUGUGAGGGUGGAGACAUUGAGGAAGAGGGGAGAUGAAGUUAGGAAUUGUGUCAUCGCAAAUUAUAAAACCAACCAAUAUCUUCACUGUGAGAGAGGGAGAGGGGAGGAGAGGACAAGAAAGGAGAGGGAAGGAGAGGAGAAGAGACCAGAGGGGAAGGGAGGAGGAGAGAGGAGAGGGAAGGAGAGGAGAGGGGAAGAGUGGAGAAGAGAGGAGAGGGAAGGAGAGGAGAAGAAAGGAGAGGAGAAGAGAUAUGUUAAAACAUAAUUUAUAAUCUGGCAUGACCAAUAACCCCAGUCACCACCACCUUUGCAGAUAUCCUGAUGAAUCCCCCUGCACCCUCCCUCCCAAACGCACCCCGUCCCCCCACUCCCACUGCACAGCCGCACAUCCCCAUGUCCCCCAACCCCCAAGAGAGAGGAAAACUGUUCCCUUGAAAACAGAGAACAAAGUCCUCUGACCGAACAAACACAACUGGCUGCCACACACAACAUGUAAAAAAACACAUACUAUAUUUCCAGCUCUCUUUCAUUCAUUUAACAUCUCUCUCUCUCGCUCUCUCUGUGUGUGUGCGUGCAUGUGUGUGUGUGUGCGUGCAUGUGUGUGUGUGUGUGUUUUUGUGGUAACCUCAAUAUGAAAGGCAGAGUUACUAGCUCAUGUUUUAGACAGCUGUAAUUAGUUAGUUUUAAAGGGCUCUGUAUCUCUCUUCCUUUCUUUUCCAUUCUUUUUCCGAUGUAGGCCAGACAUCCGAUCACUGGACUCAGUGGCUCUGACCUCAUGAGAGGACGCGCUGAGAUGAUGGACAGACGGACAGGAAACUCAGUUGUACUUACGUAACCAUUAGAAACUCCACAGAGUACAUACAGAGUACAUAGGAGCCUUUUUCCAUCCAACAUCCAGUUACUGACGCUUUCAUUGGCUCAUCAAAAACAAUAUCAAUAUCAGUCAAGAGAUGGUCAGAUAACCCUCCAGGAAAGAGAGUAUAAAGUUAACCCGCUGAUAGAUAACUAUCCGGUGUGUUCGGAAUACCUGAGCCAGUCUGUCCCUUUAGGGAAAUAUUUUUGGAAAGGUCUUGGUCAACUGGUUGUAGCUGAAUGUUGUAUUCUUGUGGGUCAGCCUAGCAGUGGUGUAGAGUUCUUUCUGCUGUAACCUGAGACCCUCAGGCCCUUAAAUAAACACUUGAUAACAUCUCUGGACCAAGUGCCAGCACCGACAUAUGACCUGAUCUGAAAACCCUCAGUUUACACAGAGACAGACAGACUGGCAGAGGGGGUGUGAGAGAUGGAAAGAGA